rnacentral:rRNA from 1 species
UAAACUAGGAUUAGAUACCCUAUUAUUUUAAAUGUAAAUUUUGAAUGUCAAAUUAGUAAUAGUUAUGUUCUUGAAAAUUAAAAGAUUUGGCGGUAUUUUAGUCUUUUCAGAGGAACCUGCCCUGUAAUUGAUAAUCCACGAUUAGGCGUACUUUAUUUAUUAAUUUACAUAUCGUCGUUGUUUGAAUAUUUUAAUAGAAAGUUAAUAUUCAAGAUUUUAAAUUUAGAAAAUAAAUCAGAUCAAGGUGUAGUAAAUAGUAAAGAGGAGGUGGGUUACAAUAAAAAUAUUUUAGGAUAAUUUUUUUUAAAAAUAAUUUGAAUUUGGAUUUGAAAGUAAUUUGAAAUAUUUAUUUUAAAUGAUUAAAGCUCUAAAAUAUGCACACAUCGCCCGUCGCUCUUAA